UACUCUUGCACAGAUUAUACAUAUACAGAGCGAAUCUAAGAAGUCUUAAAGCUUAUUUUAUUAGAUUUUGUUUUCAGUGUGUAUUAAUUCUAUAAUCUUUCUUUUCACAAAAUAUAAAAAAAAUUCAAAUAAACACAUAAGAAUUUUCACACUGACAAUUAACCCCGGUCAAGUUGCAUUACUUAAGAUCCACUCCCCAAAAACCUUCAAGAUAUCAGAUAAGGAGUGCCUUUCGCUUAGUUGGUCAGUUUCAGUGUCAGGAUAACCUUGUUAUGCAAUUUUCUUGCUGGGCAGAGUAUAGCUGUUUGCAGCUUAUCUAGGUCAAAAUUUGAAUUCAACUGAUGGAAAAGAAGUGCGCGUUUCUUUGCUGUUCAUAUUUCAUGUGUUUUUGAAGCUAUAUACACAAGGAUUAAGGCUGGAAUAUCAACUUCUGCUCAUUCGCUGUAAGGUUCAAUCAACCAGUUAUGCAGGGAAUUGAUUGUAUAGUCAGCCUUGAUUGAAUCAGAUUCUUCUCCCGUGAAAAUUAUACAAAGGAAUGCAACAUUUUGCUUUUGCUUUAGAGGGUGGAUUCUCCUGUUUGUUUCUUUCAUUCCUGGGACUUAACGAU